rnacentral:rRNA from 2 species
AGAGUUUGAUCAUGGCUCAGAUUGAACGCUGGCGGCAGGCCUAACACAUGCAAGUCGAGCGGUAGCACAGAGAGCUUGCUCUCGGGUGACGAGCGGCGGACGGGUGAGUAAUGUCUGGGAAACUGCCUGAUGGAGGGGGAUAACUACUGGAAACGGUAGCUAAUACCGCAUAAUGUCGUAAGACCAAAGUGGGGGACCUUCGGGCCUCAUGCCAUCAGAUGUGCCCAGAUGGGAUUAGCUAGUAGGUGGGGUAACGGCUCACCUAGGCGACGAUCCCUAGCUGGUCUGAGAGGAUGACCAGCCACACUGGAACUGAGACACGGUCCAGACUCCUACGGGAGGCAGCAGUGGGGAAUAUUGCACAAUGGGCGCAAGCCUGAUGCAGCCAUGCCGCGUGUGUGAAGAAGGCCUUCGGGUUGUAAAGCACUUUCAGCGGGGAGGAAGGCGAUAAGGUUAAUAACCUUGUCGAUUGACGUUACCCGCAGAAGAAGCACCGGCUAACUCCGUGCCAGCAGCCGCGGUAAUACGGAGGGUGCAAGCGUUAAUCGGAAUUACUGGGCGUAAAGCGCACGCAGGCGGUCUGUCAAGUCGGAUGUGAAAUCCCCGGGCUCAACCUGGGAACUGCAUUCGAAACUGGCAGGCUAGAGUCUUGUAGAGGGGGGUAGAAUUCCAGGUGUAGCGGUGAAAUGCGUAGAGAUCUGGAGGAAUACCGGUGGCGAAGGCGGCCCCCUGGACAAAGACUGACGCUCAGGUGCGAAAGCGUGGGGAGCAAACAGGAUUAGAUACCCUGGUAGUCCACGCCGUAAACGAUGUCGAUUUGGAGGUUGUGCCCUUGAGGCGUGGCUUCCGGAGCUAACGCGUUAAAUCGACCGCCUGGGGAGUACGGCCGCAAGGUUAAAACUCAAAUGAAUUGACGGGGGCCCGCACAAGCGGUGGAGCAUGUGGUUUAAUUCGAUGCAACGCGAAGAACCUUACCUGGUCUUGACAUCCACAGAACUUUCCAGAGAUGGAUUGGUGCCUUCGGGAACUGUGAGACAGGUGCUGCAUGGCUGUCGUCAGCUCGUGUUGUGAAAUGUUGGGUUAAGUCCCGCAACGAGCGCAACCCUUAUCCUUUGUUGCCAGCGGUCCGGCCGGGAACUCAAAGGAGACUGCCAGUGAUAAACUGGAGGAAGGUGGGGAUGACGUCAAGUCAUCAUGGCCCUUACGACCAGGGCUACACACGUGCUACAAUGGCAUAUACAAAGAGAAGCGACCUCGCGAGAGCAAGCGGACCUCAUAAAGUAUGUCGUAGUCCGGAUUGGAGUCUGCAACUCGACUCCAUGAAGUCGGAAUCGCUAGUAAUCGUAGAUCAGAAUGCUACGGUGAAUACGUUCCCGGGCCUUGUACACACCGCCCGUCACACCAUGGGAGUGGGUUGCAAAAGAAGUAGGUAGCUUAACCUUCGGGAGGGCGCUUACCACUUUGUGAUUCAUGACUGGGGUGAAGUCGUAACAAGGUAACCGUAGGGGAACCUGCGGUUGGAUCACCU